rnacentral:sRNA from 1 species
GGCCUUUUUCCUCCUGGGCAGGUGAACAACCUCGACCCAGAUCUGCGGAGUCUGUUCUCCAGGGCAGGAAUCAGCGAGGCCCAGCUCACCGACGCCGAGACCUCUAAACUUAUCUACGACUUCAUUGAGGACCAGGGUGGGCUGGAGGCUGUGCGGCAGGAGAUGAGGCGCCAGGAGCCACUUCCGCCGCCCCCACCGCCAUCUCGAGGAGGGAACCAGCCCCCCCGGCCUCCUAUUGUGGGGGGUAACAAGGGUCGUUCUGGUCCACUGCCCCCUGUACCUUUGGGGGUUGCCCCACCCCCACCAACACCCCGGGGACCCCCACCCCCAGGCCGAGGGGGCCCUCCACCACCACCCCCUCCAGCUACUGGACGUUCUGGACCACUGCCCCCUCCACCCCUGGAGCUGGUGGGCCACCCAUGCCACCCCCACCGCCCCCCCCGCCACCGCCGCCCAGCUCCGGGAAUGGACCAGCCCCUCCCCCACUCCCUCCUGCUCUGGUGCCUGCUGGGGG